AAGUCGUAACAAGGUCUCCGUAGGUGAACCUGCGGAGGGAUCAUUACCGAGUGAGGGCCCUCUGGCCCGACCUCCAACCCUUUGUAACCCGACCCUGUUGCCUCGGGGGCGACCCUGCCUUCGGGCGUUGGGGCCCCGGCGGACCACUCAACUCUGCAUCUCUGCGUCUGAGUCUUAUUUUGAAUUAAAUCAAAA
rnacentral:misc_RNA from 1 species